GACGAACGCUGGCGGCGUGCCUAAUACAUGCAAGUCGAACGCUUCUUUCCUCCCGAGUGCUUGCACUCAAUUGGAAAGAGGAGUGGCGGACGGGUGAGUAACACGUGGGUAACCUACCCAUCAGAGGGGGAUAACACUUGGAAACAGGUGCUAAUACCGCAUAACAGUUUAUGCCGCAUGGCAUAAGAGUGAAAGGCGCUUUCGGGUGUCGCUGAUGGAUGGACCCGCGGUGCAUUAGCUAGUUGGUGAGGUAACGGCUCACCAAGGCCACGAUGCAUAGCCGACCUGAGAGGGUGAUCGGCCACACUGGGACUGAGACACGGCCCAGACUCCUACGGGAGGCAGCAGUAGGGAAUCUUCGGCAAUGGACGAAAGUCUGACCGAGCAACGCCGCGUGAGUGAAGAAGGUUUUCGGAUCGUAAAACUCUGUUGUUAGAGAAGAACAAGGACGUUAGUAACUGAACGUCCCCUGACGGUAUCUAGCCAGAAAGCCACGGCUAACUAC
rnacentral:rRNA from 1 species